GAACGGGUGAGUAUCACGUGAGUAACCUGCCCUUGACUCUGGGAUAAGCCCGGGAAACUGGGUCUAAUACUGGAUAGGACUGGCCAUCGCAUGGUGGUUGGUUGAAAGCUUUUGCGGUUUUGGAUGGACUCGCGGCCUAUCAGCUUGUUGGUGGGGUAAUGGCCUACCAAGGCUUUGACGGGUAGCCGGCCUGAGAGGGUGACCGGCCACACUGGGACUGAGACACGGCCCAGACUCCUACGGGAGGCAGCAGUGGGGGAUAUUGCACAAUGGGCGCAAGCCUGAUGCAGCGACGCCGCGUGAGGGAUGACGGCCUUCGGGUUGUAAACCUCUUUCAGUUGGGAAGAAGCCUUUCGGGGUGACGGUACCUUCAGAAGAAGCACCGGCUAACUACGUGCCAGCAGCCGCGGUAAUACGUAGGGUGCGAGCGUUAUCCGGAAUUAUUGGGCGUAAAG
rnacentral:rRNA from 1 species